AUUGUGAAUACAUCAAAACAAAAAAGUACAUUGACAUCAAAGAUCAGCAUUGUUUUAACAUUUUUAAACUCUACAGUCAUAUAGCCAAAUGGAGCAAAA